rnacentral:lncRNA from 1 species
UUUCUUCCAGUAAAGGAGUCAUUUCCAAAUCCCCGAAGCGAGAAACUGAUCAAUCACUAUCCUUGAAUAGAGUUGCAUCAUCUAUGAUCUUAUUGUUAGGCUAGAUAUUAAGAAGUUAGGCAAAUUCCCUAAGUACUUGCGGAUGAGGGUUUGAUUGCUGGCAUGAAGAUCUUCCCACCAGCUUAGCAAACCUUGGGUAAAUAUUGGAUACCAUACCAUAUCUGGGGACUUCCUACCUCAUUUUUUGCAAAAGAAAUUAUUAGGCCCUUAUUUAAAUCAAUAA